rnacentral:rRNA from 1 species
AGAGUUUGAUCAUGGCUCAGGACGAACGCUGGCGGCGUGGAUUAGGCAUGCAAGUCGAACGGUAUCAUCCUUUCGGGGAUGAGAGAGUGGCGAACGGGUGAGUAACACGUAGGUGAUCUACCCUCAAGACGGGGACAACCCAGGGAAACUUGGGCUAAUACCGGAUGUGAGUGUCCUUCGGGACAUUUGAAAGGUGGCUUCGGCUGCCGCUUGGGGAUGAGCCUGCGUCCUAUUAGCUAGUUGGUGAGGUAACGGCUCACCAAGGCAGUGAUAGGUAGGCGGCCUUAACGGGUGGUCGCCCACACUGGGAUUGAGAUACGGCCCAGACUCCUACGGGAGGCAGCAGUCGAGAAUAGUCUACAAUGGUCGAAAGACUGAUAGUGCGACGCCGCGUGAACGAAGAAGCCCUUCGGGGUGUAAAGUUCUUUUAUAUGUGAGCAGUGGGUUCCAUAUGAAUAGUAUGGGAUCAGAGAUAUUAGCAUAUGAAUAAGCAACGGCUAACUCCGUGCCAGCAGCCGCGGUAACACGGGGGUUGCGAGCGUUGUCCGGAAUUACUAGGCGUAAAGGGCAGGCAGGCGGAUCUAUAAGUUUUUCGUUUAAGGCGUCAGCUUAACUGGGCGUACGGCGGGAGAUACUGUAGAUCUGGAAUGCGGUUGGGGGAAGACAGAAUUCCUGGUGUAGCGGUGGAAUGCGCAGA